AAGCAGAAGGCCCCAUCUCACCAGGUCGGCGGAGAUGCUGCCUGCCUGGAGCUCGGGUCCCAUGGGGUUGGGGGCGAAGAUGCUGCAUCCCAGUGCUGUUCCCUGCUCGGGGUCCUGGAAGCAGAGUGGCCUGGCUUCUCUCACUGGCCAAACACAGAGGGUUUGGAAGCAAAUACUGACGGACGCGGAAGUGUCGCCCCAGGAAGGCUGCAUCAAAAAGAUCUCCGAAGACCUGGGCAGUGAGAAGUUCUGUGUGGAUGCAAAUCAGGCGGGGGCCGGCAGCUGGCUCAAGUACAUCCGUGUGGCGUGCUCCUGCGAUGAUCAGAACCUCACCAUGUGUCAGAUCAGUGAGCAGAUCUACUACAAAGUCAUUAAGGACAUUGAGCCAGGUGAGGAGCUGCUGGUGCACGUGAAGGAAGGCGUCUACCCCCUGGGCACAGUGCCACCCGGCCUGGACGAGGAGCCCACGUUCCGCUGUGACGAGUGUGACGAACUCUUCCAGUCCAAGCUGGACCUGCGGCGCCACAAGAAGUACACGUGUGGCUCAGUGGGGGCUGCACUCUACGAGGGCCUGGCUGAGGAGCUCAAGUCCGAGGGCCUUGGCGGUGGCAGCGGCCAAGCACACGAGUGCAAGGACUGCGAGCGGAUGUUCCCCAACAAGUACAGCCUGGAGCAGCACAUGGUCAUCCACACGGAGGAGCGCGAGUACAAAUGCGACCAGUGUCCCAAGGCCUUCAACUGGAAGUCCAACCUCAUCCGCCACCAGAUGUCCCACGACAGCGGCAAACGCUUCGAAUGUGAAAACUGCGUGAAGGUGUUCACGGACCCCAGCAACCUUCAGCGGCACAUCCGCUCGCAGCAUGUGGGCGCUCGGGCCCACGCCUGCCCUGACUGUGGGAAGACCUUCGCCACGUCCUCCGGCCUCAAGCAGCACAAGCACAUCCACAGCACGGUGAAACCUUUCAUAUGUGAGGUCUGCCACAAGUCCUACACGCAGUUCUCCAACCUGUGCCGGCACAAGCGGAUGCAUGCCGACUGCCGCACGCAGAUCAAGUGCAAGGACUGUGGCCAGAUGUUCAGCACUACCUCCUCCCUCAACAAGCACCGGCGCUUCUGCGAGGGCAAGAACCAUUACACGCCGGGCGGCAUCUUUGCCCCAGGCCUGCCCUUGACCCCCAGCCCCAUGAUGGACAAGGCAAAACCCUCCCCCAGCCUCAAUCACGCCAGCCUGGGCUUCAACGAGUACUUCCCCUCCAGGCCGCACCCGGGGAGCCUGCCCUUCUCCACGGCGCCUCCCACGUUCCCCGCACUCACCCCCGGCUUCCCGGGCAUCUUCCCUCCAUCCUUGUACCCCCGGCCGCCUCUGCUACCUCCCACACCGCUGCUCAAGAGCCCCCUGAACCACACCCAGGACGCCAAGCUCCCCAGCCCCCUGGGGAACCCAGCCCUGCCCCUGGUCUCGGCCGUCAGCAACAGCAGCCAGGGCCCGACGGCAGCUGCGGGGCCCGAGGAGAAGUUCGAGAGCCGCCUGGAGGACUCCUGUGUGGAGAAGCUGAAGACCAGGAGCAGCGACAUGUCGGACGGCAGUGACUUUGAGGACGUCAACACCACCACGGGGACCGACCUGGACACGACCACGGGGACGGGCUCGGACCUGGACAGCGACGUGGACAGCGACCCUGACAAGGACAAGGGCAAGGGCAAGUCCGCCGAGGGCCAGCCCGAGUUUGGGGGCGGCUUGGUGCCCCCGGGGGCCCCGAACAGCGUGGCCGAGGUGCCCGUCUUCUAUUCCCAGCACUCAUUCUUCCCGCCCCCUGACGAGCAGCUGCUGACCGCGACGGGCGCCGCCGGGGACUCCAUCAAGGCCAUCGCAUCCAUCGCCGAGAAGUACUUUGGCCCCGGCUUCGUGGGGAUGCAGGAGAAGAAGCUGGGCUCGCUCCCCUACCACUCGGCUUUCCCCUUCCAGUUCCUGCCCAACUUCGCCCACUCCCUCUACCCCUUCACGGACCGAGCCCUCGCCCACAACUUGCUGGUCAAGGCCGAGCCAAAGUCACCCCGGGACGCCCUCAAGGUGGGCGGCCCCAGUGCCGAGUGCCCCUUCGAUCUCACCACCAAGCCCAAAGACGUGAAGCCCGUCCUGCCCAUGCCCAAGGGCCCUUCGGCCCCCGCAUCCGGUGAGGAGCAGCCGCUGGACCUGAGCAUCGGCAGCCGGGCCCGCGCCAGCCAGAACGGCGGCGGGCGGGAGCCCCGGAAGAACCACGUCUACGGGGAACGCAAGCUGGGCGCCGGCGAGGGGCUGCCCCAGGUGUGCCCGGCGCGGAUGCCCCAGCAGCCCCCGCUCCACUAUGCCAAGCCCUCGCCCUUCUUCAUGGACCCCAUCUACAGCAGGGUAGAAAAGCGGAAGGUCACGGACCCCGUGGGAGCCCUGAAGGAGAAGUACCUGCGGCCGUCCCCGCUGCUCUUCCACCCCCAGAUGUCAGCCAUAGAAACCAUGACGGAGAAGCUGGAGAGCUUUGCAGCCAUGAAGGCGGACUCGGGCAGCUCCCUGCAGCCCCUCCCCCACCACCCCUUCAACUUCCGGUCCCCACCCCCAACGCUCUCUGACCCCAUCCUCAGGAAGGGCAAGGAGCGAUACACGUGCAGGUACUGUGGAAAGAUCUUCCCCAGAUCAGCCAAUCUCACCAGACACCUGAGGACGCACACUGGGGAGCAGCCGUACAGGUGUAAGUACUGCGACCGCUCCUUCAGCAUCUCUUCGAACCUCCAGCGGCACGUCCGGAACAUCCAUAACAAGGAGAAGCCUUUCAAAUGCCACCUGUGCAACCGCUGCUUCGGGCAGCAGACCAACCUGGACCGGCACCUCAAGAAGCACGAGCACGAGAACGCACCAGUGAGCCAGCACCCCGGGGUCCUCACGAACCACCUGGGGACCAGCGCCUCCUCUCCCACCUCUGAGUCGGACAACCACGCACUUUUAGACGAGAAAGAAGACUCUUAUUUCUCAGAAAUCAGAAACUUUAUUGCCAAUAGUGAGAUGAACCAAGCAUCAACGAGAACAGAGAAACGGGCGGAGAUGCAGGACGUGGACGGCAGUGCCCAGUGUCCAGGCCUAGCCAGCGAGAAGCAGGAGGACGUGGAGGAGGAGGACGACGAUGACCUGGAGGAGGACGAUGAGGACAGCCUGGCCGGGAAGUCGCAGGAUGACACCGUGUCCCCCGCACCUGAGCCCCAGGCCGCCUACGAGGAUGAGGAGGACGAGGAGCCACCCACCUCCCUGGCCGUGGGCUUCGACCACACCCGAAGGUGUGCUGAGGACCACGAAGGCGGUCUGUUAGCUUUGGAGCCGAUGCCGACUUUUGGGAAGGGGCUGGACCUCCGCAGAGCAGCUGAGGAAGCAUUUGAAGUUAAAGAUGUGCUUAAUUCCACCUUAGAUUCUGAGGCUUUAAAACAUACACUGUGCAGGCAGGCUAAGAACCAGGCAUAUGCAAUGAUGCUGUCCCUUUCCGAAGACACUCCUCUCCACACCCCCUCCCAGGGUUCUCUGGACGCUUGGUUGAACAUCACCGGAGCCACGUCGGAGUCUGGAGCAUUUCACCCCAUUAACCACCUCUGAUGGGCUGGGCAGCCGGGGGCCGGCAGCCAGAGCGAGGGCACCAGCUGCGGAGGACGGAGGUGGGCGGGGCCCCAGAGAACCCUGUCCCUGCGUGUGGUCACUCCUCAGCGUACU
rnacentral:sRNA from 1 species